rnacentral:lncRNA from 1 species
UUUUUCACCGUUUCUUCUCCGUUUUCGCCCGUUUUCGCUCGUUUGACCUCCGAUUCGUUUCAAAUCGAACCGAGACUCUUCAAACAUGUUUUCGAGCAUGUUUUCAUCAUCUUUUCAUCCACGCUAAUGCCGGAUUUAGCUCACGGCCCAACAUGGCCUUUCGGCUCCGUUUUAGCGCCUACGCGCACCGAAACGCCCGAAUGCUUCCGGACCUCACCGAACUUCACCGGAACCUUUCAAAUGG